GCAGGGGUCGCCAAGUGGUCAAAGGCGCCAGGUUCAGGGCCUGGUCGGUUAGUCCGUUCGAGAGUUCGAAUCUCUUCCCCUGCA
rnacentral:tRNA from 1 species